UGCUCCUCUCCCUUGCUCUGCUGAGCUUUUGCAAGCUUUUGCCUGCAAAAUGGACACACACCAACCCUGUAAGGAAAAAAUUCCCCAGCCUUUCUAAACAGUCUUUGCGAUUUCCUCAGUUCAUUUGGGGAUUGAAGAUAUAUUUGUCCACUCCGUCAUUGAUAAUGAUACACUGAAUUGAUAUACUCAAAAAAAGAAAUUGACUACUCCAGGUUUUCCAUACCUGCAUAACCACCACCUGAAGAAGACUACACAGUCGAAACCGGUCAUGUAUGGUGUCUAACCUUGGACUUGUUUAGAUUGGAUUAAAAGGAUUCACUUACUUUGACAUUAAAUUUGGACUCACAAUUAGAGACUUAUACAGUCCUCCAUGAGGAACAUGAACUUUGGUGGGCAUUGGACUCACAAACUCUGAAUAUACAGUUUUACUUUCUCUGAAUAUAGAGUUUUCUUUCUAUGAAUGUAUGUGUGUUGGUAACACAUGGAUUAUAUUUUGGUUUAAUUGCUGUUGUAUAGUUCAUAUCAUUGGAUUGCAUUUCUAGCUGUAGUGGCCUCUUGCCUGUGUUGUGAUAAUGCAGCCACAUUGUAGACUCGCACCCUUAAAAAAUAAAUAAAGAGCCCUCGGAGGUGCAGGGGGUUAAGCCCUUGUGCUGGCAGGACUAAUGACUUGAAGAUUGGGUUGCUGACCUGAAGGUUGCCGGUUCGAAUCCAACCCGAGGAGAGCGUG
rnacentral:lncRNA from 11 species